CAAUAGCGUAUAUUAUUGAUGUUGCAGUUGAAACGUUCGUAGUCGAACUUUGCCCGCUAAAGUAUUAAGUCAUUGAUGAUGAUUUGAUACUCUGAGCGGCGAUUAUGCAAGAGUGAGCAUGUGUUUCACAUGUUCUGCUUUUUGCAUUUUACUUUGAGUGAAUCGGCGUGUUCCACGCAGGCAAGUGCCUUGAACAGAGUAUGAAAAUGCUUCCUUGCUUGUUCGGAAGUUUUUUCGACACUGAUAGGAACGGUUGAGGGCAUUCGUAUUCGACUGCUAGAGGUGAAAUUCUUUGAUUAGUCGAGGACGAACAAUUGCGAAAGCAUCUGCCAAGGACGUUUCCUUUGA
rnacentral:rRNA from 1 species